rnacentral:rRNA from 1 species
UACGUAGGUGACCAGCGUUGUCCGGAUUUACUGGGCGUAAAGAGCGCGCAGGCGGUCCUUUAAGUCUGAUGUGAAAGCCCACGGCUCAACCGUGGAGGGUCAUUGGAAACUGGGGGACUUGAGUACAGAAGAGAAGAGUGGAAUUCCACGUGUAGCGGUGAAAUGCGUAGAGAUGUGGAGGAACACCAGUGGCGAAGGCGACUCUUUGGUCUGUAACUGACGCUGAGGCGCGAAAGCGUGGGGAGCAAACAGG